rnacentral:rRNA from 1 species
UGGGGAAUAUUGCACAAUGGGCGCAAGCCUGAUGCAGCCAUGCCGCGUGUGUGAAGAAGGCCUUCGGGUUGUAAAGCACUUCCAGCGAGGAGGAAGGGUAGUGUGUUAAUAGCACAUUGCAUUGACGUUACUCGCAGAAGAAGCACCGGCUAACUCCGUGCCAGCAGCCGCGGUAAUACGGAGGGUGCAAGCGUUAAUCGGAAUUACUGGGCGUAAAGCGCACGCAGGCGGUUUGUUAAGUCAGAUGUGAAAUCCCCGCGCUUAACGUGGGAACUGCAUUUGAAACUGGCAAGCUAGAGUCUUGUAGAGGGGGGUGAGAAU